AAAAUUAAUAGUUUAAACAACUGACAAACUUGAAAAGGAAAUUGGAUGCCUAGAAUGCCGCAGUGCCACCUUGGUUGGUCUGAUGUCAGACAUCAACACAUACCCAUCCCAGAGAUGCUGGGCUUAUUGCCUUUUUGUGGUUAUUAAGAAAGGGCUGCAGUCAGUUUGACUAAAACGGGAUCCACGUUAUUGCUUAGAAAGGAAGCAAGCCAGCAGUGAUCACUUAUUCUUAUUCUUCAUAUCUAUCCAGAAAACUGACUUCAGUGAAGGUAAGAUAUAUACAGACAUACACUUGUGUUUUUCUUUAAGACUGAAGUACACGUAUGCGAUGCUUUCUUAAGAUUCUAACAUAUUUGACAACUAAUAUUUCUUUUUAGAAGUCAGCUAAAUCUAUUUAAAGGCAACAUCAUUAAAACUAACAGGAAGAAACUGAAAUGCAUCUUUACCAGGUAGAGCUGCUGUUUUGCUACUUGGAGAAAGUGAAGGGAAGUUGGACCCUGGAGGGUUUCCUUACAUCUUUGCUGUCUCUCUCUUAGAGAUCAUUGAAGCCAUCCAGUGUUGCUGAGGAGAAAUAACCGUACAAUCCUAUGGCCCAUGAGACCAUUAAGUUUAUUAACAUUUGGCUUUCUGGAAGGAGGGUGUUGAAGGCUUUUAGAGCAUUUUCCCCACGUCUGGUCUCUGAUUCAAGUGCUAUGUACAAGCAGAAAGCAGACAUUUUCAGGGCACAUCUCUAAGCUGUGUAACUGCUUGCUGCCAGAACCAGACGUGUUGAAGACAAAACAACAAAUCACCUCCUUUCUAGAUCCAUUAAAGCAAAGUUUACUUUCUGUUUCAACAGGUUUUUAUUUUAUUUUGCAUUGUCACACAUUUAUUUAAAAACUGUAGCCCUUUUGGUAGUGAUGGUCCAGGUCGGUUGGUAUUUCAGACUGAAGUUUGUGUGUGUCUAGGUGUUCAAGGACUCUCAGAGAUCUCAAGGCAACUAUAAUGGCAGUUUUUGAAAUAUAUUGUAAGAUAAUAAAAGAUAACAAUGAAAA
rnacentral:lncRNA from 1 species